rnacentral:rRNA from 1 species
GAUGAACGCUGGCGGCGUGCCUAAUACAUGCAAGUCGAGCGAACGGACGAGAAGCUUGCUUCUCUGAUGUUAGCGGCGGACGGGUGAGUAACACGUGGAUAACCCACCUAUAAGACUGGGAUAACUUCGGGAAACCGGAGCUAAUACCGGAUAAUAUUUUGAACCGCAUGGUUCAAAAGUGAAAGACGGUCUUGCUGUCACUUAUAGAUGGAUCCGCGCUGCAUUAGCUAGUUGGUAAGGUAACGGCUUACCAAGGCAACGAUGCAUAGCCGACCUGAGAGGGUGAUAGGCCACACUGGAACUGAGACACGGUCCAGACUCCUACGGGAGGCAGCAGUAGGGAAUCGUACGCAAUGGGCGAAAGCCUGACGGAGCAACGCCGCGUGAGUGAUGAAGGUCUUCGGAUCGUAAAAAUCUGUUAUUAGGGAAGAACAUAUGUGUAAGUAACUGUGCACAGCUUGACGGUACCUAAUCAGAAAGCAACGGCUAACUACGUG